UUUCCCUCCUUAUAACCCCCUUGUUUCACUGCCGCUUGUUUAAAUUCACUUUCCCCUUAUCUCUAAACAAGAACAGCCGCCUAGCACCAACAAAUACAGAACAUGAACCCGAGAUCUAGGCAAGCUGAGUUUGGACCACCAUUAGAGUUUCCUCGGUCGCCCAAACAUCUUUGAGUGGUAUAUACGGGUCAUCCCAUGAGACCAAACACUUCUCUACAUCUGAAUCUAUAGUUGGUAUCAUCUUUUUGGUAAUUUUUUUAUAAUUUUACAUUCGAUUAUCUCAUUUAGGUAUUUUCUUUAGUGGGUAUAUUAUGGAUUUAAUUAUAUUGUUGGGGAGUAGAUUGCUUUUUGUUAGUCACUAAUUUGUUAGAUUUUGUGUUUUUGUGUAUGAGCAAUUAUGCCCAAAUCUUGUAUAGUUGUUAUUAAUUAGAUGGGGUUGCAAGAUGAUUUUUUUGUUGAGUGAAAUGUGGAUUGCUUAAGAGUUGUGUUGAUUACUGGUUGCCAUCUGACGAGAUUUGUCAAGUGCUCUGAGUUUUGAUUGAAUACUUUACAUAUAUCUUGGAUACAACAUACUAAUAGUUCCAUUUGGAUAUGAAUCAUCUGAUAGAGAAAUACAGUGUCUUGGUCCAAGUACAGGCAGAUAUGUGGACAUAAUAUAUAAUUGAGUGAGAUAGAAGAAAAUGUAGUGGUACCGUUUGAUUUGAUAUGAUUCAUUUUUCUUUACCUUAUUCUAUUUAUUCAUAACCCAGCUCAUCCUGAUUUUGGGACUUCGACAGCAGGUAUCUUGUUGGUGUUCUUAGUGCAUUGGACUUCAUGUUAAAUGAUGAGAGAGAUGCAUUGCAUAGUCAUUGUCAUUGAUGAAGUGCUCACAACAAAAGUGAAGCCCGGAUAGAAAAAUGGCACAAAGAUUAGUUUUGAGGGCUGGGGAAUGAGAUACCAGGACGUGAAACAUGAGACGUUAUAUUCGCGAUUGCAGAGAACAACAACCUUUGAUUUCUUCAGGAAAGAUGGCAAUAAUUUGGUAUUCGAAAUAGAAAUUCCCCAGGUAGAAGCGCUCAUUGGUUGCAGACUUUCAGUGUCUUUUUAGGUGGAGAGAAGAUGAUGAUAAUAAUGGAAGAUGUGAUAUAUCCCGAGUAUGAGAAGAUAGUAGCAGGGCACGGCAUGCCAAAGGUUGAAGAACUUGAUGAAGGGUAACCUGAUAGUUAAAUUUGAUGUAGAGUUUCCUAAGCAACUUAGAGAUGAACAAAGCUUAUAUGUUUGUAACAUUUUACAGAACUUUUGUUUAUUAUAAAUGAUAUAGAGAAUUAUUCAGAGAAU